UACGUAGGGGGCAAGCGUUGUCCGGAAUCAUUGGGCGUAAAGAGCGUGUAGGCGGUUCAGUAAGUCUGCUGUGAAAGUCCAGGGCUCAACCCUGGAAUGCCAGUGGAAACUGUCGGGCUAGAGUCCGGAAGAGGCGAGUGGAAUUCCUGGUGUAGCGGUGAAAUGCGCAGAUAUCAGGAGGAACACCAAUGGCGAAGGCAGCUCGCUGGGACGGUACUGACGCUGAGACGCGAAAGCGUGGGGAGCAAACAGG
rnacentral:rRNA from 1 species